GAGCGGCGGCGGGGGCCGGCGACGGGGAUCUCGCUGCCGCGUCAUUGGCGUCGGCUGCGGGGGAAGGAAGACGACGCCGAGGUUAUUUUUCAAGCUGGGAGACGAGCACGUGAACACGGCGAAUGCCAAAGGUGUCUGCUACCUGGCCACCGGGGGCAGUAUUGUAAAGUCAUGCAGACACAAACGAAGAAGACAACGACUACAAGGCCGGCGUCUCAGACGACAACAACCUGUCCGGAAAUAUGCCGCCAUUCUGGUUCCGUGCACCUCCUGCCUCCCUCGCCGAGGCCUGCGGCGCUUGCCCUCCUCCAGACUACAAAGUCCGGAUGAAUGGCGGCCGACCGGCCACCUGCGGCGACUUCUCGCGUGCGAUCCGACUCCGAAUACCCGGAACAAUCCACCUUAAAGAAACGAGCUCAAGUCCAAAGUCAGGCAGUUUGACCGUUUUGUGAGCGUGCGUUUGUGCCUGUGUGCAAGUGUGUGUCUUGUCCUCUUUGUUGUCUGAGCAUAAACACAAAUUGGAAUUGGCCCGCGGCGAGGCUGCUGCGCGUCCGUCUCCAAACCAAGUUCAAGAACAAGUCGGGCUUGAUCGGUGCGGCCUGCUCGCUAUGCAAACCCGAGAGCGUCACAUGGACGCCGUCGCCCACGUCGUCGCGCAAAACACGGAACGCCAAAUUGGUCCAGCGUAUUCGGGUCAAGGUCAGGAUUAGCAGUCAGGGUUAACCUAUCCAAGUGGACCUUGGGGCAAGAGGGCCGGUCCAUCCUGAACUGGUUGCCGGUCAACACGCAUCGGAUAUAUAAAGUUUACACACCUCUGUUCAAAUGCCAUAUUUAUUUGCUAGAAAAAAAAAAAUAAGGCCAGGUUAAUUCAUUCACCGCUUGAAUUCUGACCUGUGACCUGUAAUUGUCAAUUGAAACAAUCAUUUUGAGAUUUUGCAAAAAGUCAAAUGACAAAAUGUGCCAUGCUUGUUUGCUCAUCACCAAAAACAACAAGGUGCUUUAGGCAUUGGGCAUUUUUUUUUUUUUAACUUCAAAUGAAACACUGCGGCCUCAG